GACGAACGCUGGCGGCGUGCCUAAUACAUGCAAGUUGAGCGCUGAAGGUUGGUACUUGUACCAACUGGAUGAGCAGCGAACGGGUGAGUAACGCGUGGGGAAUCUGCCUUUGAGCGGGGGACAACAUUUGGAAACGAAUGCUAAUACCGCAUAAAAACUUUAAACACAAGUUUUAAGUUUGAAAGAUGCAAUUGCAUCACUCAAAGAUGAUCCCGCGUUGUAUUAGCUAGUUGGUGAGGUAAAGGCUCACCAAGGCGAUGAUACAUAGCCGACCUGAGAGGGUGAUCGGCCACAUUGGGACUGAGACACGGCCCAAACUCCUACGGGAGGCAGCAGUAGGGAAUCUUCGGCAAUGGACGAAAGUCUGACCGAGCAACGCCGCGUGAGUGAAGAAGGUUUUCGGAUCGUAAAACUCUGUUGGUAGAGAAGAGCGUUGGUGAGAGUGGAAAGCUCAUCAAGUGACGGUAGCUACCCAGAAAGGGACGGCUAACUACGUGCCAGCAGCCGCCGUAA
rnacentral:rRNA from 1 species